GGGAUACUAGUAAAAUAUUACAUUGCUUUGUCAAGGCAAAAUUGUGGGUUAAAACCCCACGUAACCCU
rnacentral:tRNA from 1 species